CAACCGAGCGUAAAUAUUAAGCGAGAAAGUCUAGUGGAACGAUGCAGGGUUCAUUGGGUUUGUUUACAAAAAUUCAAGCAUCCGGUUAAGAAGACGACAAAUAAGAAUGGUAUUAAGUUGGUAGAAUGGAACUCCUUCCUGAUUCCUGCACAUGUAAGUUACCAGAUACUCUUGAGGGACCAAUUUAAGGGCAAACAGACAAACGUUUUGAUGCAAAGAAAGCAUUGGAUUUGAAAGUUCCCAUGGAGAAGAAAAAUGGAGAGAUUCUAAUAGUAUGAAGAUACUCCUGUG